rnacentral:rRNA from 1 species
GUGACAGCCGCCGCGGUAAGACGGAGGGGGCGAGCGUUGUUCGGAAUUACUGGGCGUAAAGGGCGCGCAGGCGGUCAUGUAAGUCGGUGGUGAAAGCCCACGGCUUAACCGUGGAAUUGCCUUCGAAACUGCAUGACUUGAGUACGGAAGAGGAGAGCGGAAUUCCCAGUGUAGCGGUGAAAUGCGUGGAUAUUGGGAGGAACACCAGUGGCGAAGGCGGCUCUCUGGUCCGAUACUGACGCUGAGGCGCGAAAGCCAGGGGAGCAAACGGGAUUAGAAACCCGUGUAGUCC